CCUACGGGAGGCAGCAGUGAGGAAUCUUGGUCAAUGGACGAGAGUCUGAACCAGCCAAGUAGCGUGAAGGAUGACUGCCCUAUGGGUUGUAAACUUCUUUUAUAAAGGAAUAAAACGAGGCACGUGUGCCUUUUUGCAUGUACUUUAUGAUUAAGGAUCGGCUAACUCCGUGCCAGCAGCCGCGGUAAUACGGAGGAUCCGAGCGUUAUCCGGAUUUGUUGGGUUUAAAGGGAGAGUAGAUGGGUUGUUAAGUCAGUUGUGAAAGUUUGCGGCUCAACCGUAAAAUUGCAUGUGAUACUGGCAGUCUUGAGUACAGGUGAGGUGGGCGGAAUUCGUGGUGUAGCGGUGAAAUGCUUAGAUAUCACGAAGAACCCCGAUUGCGAAGGCAGCUUACUAACCUGUGACUGACGUUGAUGCUCGAAAGUGUGGGUAGCAAACAGGAUUAGAUACCCGAGUAGUC
rnacentral:rRNA from 1 species